GGUUAAGCGACUAAGCGUACACGGUGGAUGCCCUGGCAGUCAGAGGCGAUGAAGGACGUGCUAAUCUGCGAUAAGCGUCGGUAAGGUGAUAUGAACCGUUAUAACCGGCGAUUUCCGAAUGGGGAAACCCAGUGUGUUUCGACACACUAUCAUUAACUGAAUCCAUAGGUUAAUGAGGCGAACCGGGGGAACUGAAACAUCUAAGUACCCCGAGGAAAAGAAAUCAACCGAGAUUCCCCCAGUAGCGGCGAGCGAACGGGGAGCAGCCCAGAGCCUGAAUCAGUGUGUGUGUUAGUGGAAGCGUCUGGAAAGGCGCGCGAUACAGGGUGACAGCCCCGUACACAAAAAUGCACAUGCUGUGAGCUCGAUGAGUAGGGCGGGACACGUGGUAUCCUGUCUGAAUAUGGGGGGACCAUCCUCCAAGGCUAAAUACUCCUGACUGACCGAUAGUGAACCAGUACCGUGAGGGAAAGGCGAAAAGAACCCCGGCGAGGGGAGUGAAAAAGAACCUGAAACCGUGUACGUACAAGCAGUGGGAGCACGCUUAGGCGUGUGACUGCGUACCUUUUGUAUAAUGGGUCAGCGACUUAUAUUCUGUAGCAAGGUUAACCGAAUAGGGGAGCCGAAGGGAAACCGAGUCUUAACUGGGCGUUAAGUUGCAGGGUAUAGACCCGAAACCCGGUGAUCUAGCCAUGGGCAGGUUGAAGGUUGGGUAACACUAACUGGAGGACCGAACCGACUAAUGUUGAAAAAUUAGCGGAUGACUUGUGGCUGGGGGUGAAAGGCCAAUCAAACCGGGAGAUAGCUGGUUCUCCCCGAAAGCUAUUUAGGUAGCGCCUCGUGAAUUCAUCUCCGGGGGUAGAGCACUGUUUCGGCAAGGGGGUCAUCCCGACUUACCAACCCGAUGCAAACUGCGAAUACCGGAGAAUGUUAUCACGGGAGACACACGGCGGGUGCUAACGUCCGUCGUGAAGAGGGAAACAACCCAGACCGCCAGCUAAGGUCCCAAAGUCAUGGUUAAGUGGGAAACGAUGUGGGAAGGCCCAGACAGCCAGGAUGUUGGCUUAGAAGCAGCCAUCAUUUAAAGAAAGCGUAAUAGCUCACUGGUCGAGUCGGCCUGCGCGGAAGAUGUAACGGGGCUAAACCAUGCACCGAAGCUGCGGCAGCGACACUAUGUGUUGUUGGGUAGGGGAGCGUUCUGUAAGCCUGUGAAGGUGUGCUGUGAGGCAUGCUGGAGGUAUCAGAAGUGCGAAUGCUGACAUAAGUAACGAUAAAGCGGGUGAAAAGCCCGCUCGCCGGAAGACCAAGGGUUCCUGUCCAACGUUAAUCGGGGCAGGGUGAGUCGACCCCUAAGGCGAGGCCGAAAGGCGUAGUCGAUGGGAAACAGGUUAAUAUUCCUGUACUUGGUGUUACUGCGAAGGGGGGACGGAGAAGGCUAUGUUGGCCGGGCGACGGUUGUCCCGGUUUAAGCGUGUAGGCUGGUUUUCCAGGCAAAUCCGGAAAAUCAAGGCUGAGGCGUGAUGACGAGGCACUACGGUGCUGAAGCAACAAAUGCCCUGCUUCCAGGAAAAGCCUCUAAGCAUCAGGUAACAUCAAAUCGUACCCCAAACCGACACAGGUGGUCAGGUAGAGAAUACCAAGGCGCUUGAGAGAACUCGGGUGAAGGAACUAGGCAAAAUGGUGCCGUAACUUCGGGAGAAGGCACGCUGAUAUGUAGGUGAAGUCCCUUGCGGAUGGAGCUGAAAUCAGUCGAAGAUACCAGCUGGCUGCAACUGUUUAUUAAAAACACAGCACUGUGCAAACACGAAAGUGGACGUAUACGGUGUGACGCCUGCCCGGUGCCGGAAGGUUAAUUGAUGGGGUCAGCGCAAGCGAAGCUCUUGAUCGAAGCCCCGGUAAACGGCGGCCGUAACUAUAACGGUCCUAAGGUAGCGAAAUUCCUUGUCGGGUAAGUUCCGACCUGCACGAAUGGCGUAAUGAUGGCCAGGCUGUCUCCACCCGAGACUCAGUGAAAUUGAACUCGCUGUGAAGAUGCAGUGUACCCGCGGCAAGACGGAAAGACCCCGUGAACCUUUACUAUAGCUUGACACUGAACAUUGAGCCUUGAUGUGUAGGAUAGGUGGGAGGCUUUGAAGUGUGGACGCCAGUCUGCAUGGAGCCGACCUUGAAAUACCACCCUUUAAUGUUUGAUGUUCUAACGUGGACCCGUGAUCCGGGUUGCGGACAGUGUCUGGUGGGUAGUUUGACUGGGGCGGUCUCCUCCUAAAGAGUAACGGAGGAGCACGAAGGUUGGCUAAUCCUGGUCGGACAUCAGGAGGUUAGUGCAAUGGCAUAAGCCAGCUUGACUGCGAGCGUGACGGCGCGAGCAGGUGCGAAAGCAGGUCAUAGUGAUCCGGUGGUUCUGAAUGGAAGGGCCAUCGCUCAACGGAUAAAAGGUACUCCGGGGAUAACAGGCUGAUACCGCCCAAGAGUUCAUAUCGACGGCGGUGUUUGGCACCUCGAUGUCGGCUCAUCACAUCCUGGGGCUGAAGUAGGUCCCAAGGGUAUGGCUGUUCGCCAUUUAAAGUGGUACGCGAGCUGGGUUUAGAACGUCGUGAGACAGUUCGGUCCCUAUCUGCCGUGGGCGCUGGAGAACUGAGGGGGGCUGCUCCUAGUACGAGAGGACCGGAGUGGACGCAUCACUGGUGUUCGGGUUGUCAUGCCAAUGGCACUGCCCGGUAGCUAAAUGCGGAAGAGAUAAGUGCUGAAAGCAUCUAAGCACGAAACUUGCCCCGAGAUGAGUUCUCCCUGACCCUUUAAGGGUCCUGAAGGAACGUUGAAGACGACGACGUUGAUAGGCCGGGUGUGUAAGCGCAGCGAUGCGUUGAGCUAACCGGUACUAAUGAACCGUGAGGCUUAACCUU
rnacentral:rRNA from 1 species